CCCAGGGCUGAAAUGGAACCAGCACAACAGACUAUCCUGUUGAACCCAGGUCUGAAAUGGAACCAGCCCUACAGACUAUCCUGUUGAACCCAGGUCUGAAAUGGAACCAGCCCUACAGACUAUCCUGUUGAACCCAGGUCUGAAAUGGAACCAGCCCAACAGACUAUCCUGUUGAACCCAGGUCUGAAAUGGAACCAGCCCAACAGACUAUCCUGUUGAACCCAGGUCUGAAAUGGAACCAGCCCAACAGACUAUCCUGUUGAACCCAGGUCUGAAAUGGAACCAGCCCUACAGACUAUCCUGUUGAACCCAGGUCUGAAAUGGAACCAGCCCUACAGACUAUCCUGUUGAACCCAGGUCUGAAAUGGAACCAGCCCUACAGACUAUCCUGUUGAACCCAGGUCUGAAAUGGAACCAGCCCUACAGACUAUCCUGUUGAACCCAGGUCUGAAAUGGAACCAGCCCUACAGACUAUCCUGUUGAACCCAGGUCUGAAAUGGAACCAGCCCUACAGACUAUCCUGUUGAACCCAGGUCUGAAAUGGAACCAGCCCAACAGACUAUCCUGUUGAACCCAGGUCUGAAAUGGAACCAGCCCAACAGACUAUCCUGUUGAACCCAGGUCUGAAAUGGAA